rnacentral:rRNA from 1 species
UACGGGGGGGGGCAGCGUUGUUCGGAAUUACUGGGCGUAAAGGGCUCGUAGGCGGCCAACUAAGUCAGACGUGAAAUCCCUCGGCUUAACCGGGGAACUGCAUCUGAUACUGGAUGGCUUGAGUUCGGGAGAGGGAUGCGGAAUUCCAGGUGUAGCGGUGAAAUGCGUAGAUAUCUGGAGGAACACCGGUGGCGAAGGCGGCAUCCUGGACCGACACUGACGCUGAGGAGCGAAAGCCAGGGGAGCAAACGGG